GUACCUUUUAACAGUCUCUUAUCUAAAUUUGUAAAAAUAUUGUUGUGAUUGACGGGUAAUGAGACUUAAAUUUUAACUGUGUUCAUUUUGACACGUAAAUAACAAUGCAAAUAUGAUAAAAAUAUCUAUUAAUCGGAAAUCUGUCAGAUAUUUACGUGGAGUUUUAUUUUGUAACAUCAGAAAAAAUACUUGCUACGAAUAAUAAUCCACAGCAUAUAUUCCCACGACUGGUUGGGUGUACUUGUCAAAUAUUUGUCACUUGUGUAUACUUGUCAAGCCGUCGGAACACUAUACUUGUACAAUUAUUGGUCACUUGUCAGUUUCCCGCAGAUUGUCGGUAAAUGUGACUCAAGUCAAAGGAAUUAAUGGCUUGACAAGUCUACACUUGUAGUUUACACUUGUGUACUUGUCAAGUACUUGGCCAAUAUUUGAUUUUAAGCCUUCAUUACGGAAUAAUUAUUAUAGCUGAACAAUUAAAAUAAAACUAUACAAUAAGAACUAAGACUAUAUAAAAAAAUAUAUAUAUUGUUAUUAAACACAAUUAAACAUAUCAUUAAUAAAUUAAACGUACUCAAAAUACUAAAAAAGAAGGAACAAAACAAAAUAGACCUAGGAUAUUAAAUUAACAUAAAGAAAAAUAUUAUAUUACAAAGCCAGCUGAAUGAACGAAGGAAAUUAUUUGUAUAAUUAUUAAGGAUGAUUUUAUAUUAAGGAUAUUAAAACUAUUAAUGGGUGAAAUAUUAAGGGAGGACAGGAAAUUGAACAAGAGUAAACGGUUAUGUUGUAAUGUUGGACAAUCAAAUAGUAAUUGAGGAAAAUUACAGAGGACUUUAAAUUGUUUAUAAUUAUUUAAAUUGUUAAAACCAUGACAACUUGGACCAACGAAACCACUCUUGACUUUAUACAUCUUUAUGAACAAUACCAGUAAGAAUGAUCGAUAAGUGGAAAAAGCUAUUUAGACCAUAUAUUGAAAAAUUUAUCUCCGCAUUCAAAAUAAAAUUUUAACCAGAAAUAUCCAGACUUAGAAUUACCUAUUAAUUAAUAAGCCUUUGAAAAAAUUUAAUUAUAUUCAAAAUUUUUCAAACAAAACUGCAAUAUAAUUAAGGUACUCAAUGUCAAGAAACAAAGAAAAUAUUUGAGAUGCUUAAUGGCAAAAAAAGUGCAAUUGUAGAAGGUAUUAUUAAGGCUUAAACAAGCUCCUCUCCGAAAAUUGCAUUUUCCAAAUAAAAAAUAUUUUUAAAAAAAUAUCUAACGUUGGAAAAUAUACAGUGUCAGAUUUUUCUGUGAAAAGUUAAGAAACUUUAAGAAACUUACAUUUUAAAAAGAACACUUUAACUCUGAUGGGAAAAAGAAAACUUAUCUAUGAAUCGUUUAAAGGAAAAAGAUUGUUAUAAUUGAUGAACAUUUGGUGAAUGAUAUAAUGAUGAAUAAAAGCUCAGCCUAAUAGUGAUGAAGUAGAUCCGCCAAUGUCGAACGGUCAGGUCUUUUUGGCAACUCAUCUAGAACAUCGGAUGGGUCUCUUCGGAGACCGGGUAGUUUUUUUUUUUAAUAAUCAUAUUUAUGUAAUGAUCUGUAUUUUGUUAGUUAUUUUAUUAUAAACUAACUUAAUUUUAUUUUUGUGUGAAGAGUACGUGUUUCCUCUUUCUUCUAGCCAAUGCUAAUGAGCAAGUAUCCAGACCACUCCUGGUGUUUUUCAUUUAUUUUUUAUUAAUAUUAACAGAUAUGUUCUAAUACCGUCCGUGAUGUUUGUUAUAUUAUUUGAUUUUGUUUAAAUAUUAUAUUUCUUUUGUUGUCAACUUUUUUUUGUAGGUAUGGUUUUUUAUACAUUAGUAUUUUUGUCCAUAUUUUACUUAAUUAUAUAUCUUUAAGAAUUAAAUUAAAUUUCCUUAUUAAUCUUAA